UUAAUGUAUAAUUUAAAUAAACAUGUUUAUUGUCUUACCUUUUAUUUUCCUUCUUUUGUUUUUUCCUAGAGCAUCGAUCCUCAGAAAAGGCAGAGUGGCAUUGCUGGUUUAAAGGAGGAACAUUAAAGCUAGCAAUAAUUUCGAGCUCUAACUUCAAGCUUUCAUUGAGAACAUAGAUUCUACAGCAAGGAAAUAACAAACAGUGGAAGCACCCGCAGGGGCAGCCAAGCUUGGCAGCCCUCCACAGCUGGAGCAGAACUCCUCAGAACGGGCAGAGCUCGUGCGAGCGCAGCGCCUAGAGCGGGAGGAAGCAAACGAAACAUCACUGCUGUCCGAUGCAGCAAGCAAAGCGUUCAGUGAAAGCAAAUAGCAUAGCCCUGUUCCCCGUUAAACUGGUCGCCCCGUAGAGGGAAACCAGAGCUUUGGUUGUGUCGUUUGGAACGAUGAGACAUGAGGGAAAGAG
rnacentral:lncRNA from 1 species